GAGUUUGAUUAUGGCUCAGGAUGAACGCUGGCGGCGUGCCUAACACAUGCAAGUCGGGCGCGGUUGUGCUUAGUAUUGAGUGUUUUAUUGAUAUAAAACAUUGAAUUCUAUGCACAACUGAGCGGCGGACGGGUGAGUAACGCGUGGGUAACCUGCCCUAUACACAUGGAUAACAUACUGAAAAGUUUACUAAUACAUGAUAAAAUAGUUUUUCGGCAUCGAAGAAUUAUCAAAGUGUUAGCGGUAUAGGAUGGACCCGCGUCUGAUUAGCUAGUUGGUGAGAUAACUGCCCACCAAGGCGACGAUCAGUAGCCGACCUGAGAGGGUGAUCGGCCACAUUGGAACUGAGACACGGUCCAAACUCCUACGGGAGGCAGCAGUGGGGAAUAUUGCACAAUGGGCGCAAGCCUGAUGCAGCAACGCCGCGUGAACGAUGAAGGUCUUCGGAUCGUAAAGUUUCUGUUGCAGGGGAAGAUAAUGACGUACCCUNG
rnacentral:rRNA from 1 species